UCUACCAAAAUACCUAGUUCUAACUCUACCAAUCUUUCAAUCAAUAUUCACGGUUUGAAUCCUCUUCCCAUUUUACAAAAAACUCAUCUAUUACUGCCCCUACAUCACCAAACAAUGACGACUCUUCGUACUGGAUUUCUCCUUCUUGUAACCCUAUAUUGAACAAGAAUAAGGAUUUCUCCUUCGGCUAACCCUGGAUUUCUUCUUCGACGUUUCGUUGUCAGAAUAUGGUUCAUUAAAUCAGCAAAAAUCUAGUUUGAACUGCAACUCUUUCGGGUAACCCUCUUUGUUUUGGAUCAUCAGCACAAUUCAUCAAUGACGGGUAUUUCGUACUUGAACCUGCAGAUAAGUUUCAAGAUUGCAUGGCAAAGUUUGAUUAUCCUACUAGUACAAUAUACAUAUAACUUAAGCUUCAGAUCAAGUUGGGUUCGAGAAUUAGCUAGGCUCGAAGCGAUAUAGUGGCUUUACAAACUCUACGGAAUGCUUAAUAGCUCCGCACGUCGUAUGCAUUGCAAAGGAUCAGCAAGCCUCAUGAUGUUUUGAUGUCUUUCAUCUAGUGAUUGUUCGGCGCUCCGAUUUUAUUUUUGUAAAUUUAUUUUGGGAGGAGACAUUAUAUUGAUUAUAAAGUGAUAUAUCCAUUAGGAUUGGUUUUCACGACUAACAUUUGAAUUAAGAAUUUGACCCGGUGGAUAAAUCAAUUUUGUGUUAUUACUUGUUGUUUGUCUAUAUAAUAAUGGUGUAUCAGUAUGUAACUCAAUACUCAAAAAUUAAAAAGGAAAAUUAAUUUCUAAGAAAAAAUAUGGAAAUA